ACGAGGGACCAAUCGGAUACGUUUAGGUCGGUUCGGUGCAGCUGGGCCAGGUUCGGGCGCGGAACGGAGCAUCGCCGUGGUCCCGAUCCGCUAACGUCACCAUGCCGGCCGUUUCCAAGGGAGACGGGAUGCGGGGCCUGGCCGUAUUUAUCUCCGAUAUCCGAAAUUGUAAGAGUAAAGAGGCUGAAAUUAAACGAAUUAACAAGGAGCUGGCCAAUAUCCGGUCCAAAUUUAAGGGUGAGUUCUUGCACUGUUUCCUUGCUCCUUCUCCCCUUCUCCCUUUCGCUAUUCUGCAGCAUAAGCCAGCUUUGUCUCACCACACAUCCCUGCAGCAACUCCAUCAGUGACUCAGCCCAGUUUACUCACUGUCUCUUGUUUUUGUUCUCUCUCUCCCUUGACAACCAGGCUCCUCUCUAGCACUUUUCAGUGAUACCAUGGACAGUGUGAAGCAGAGUGCUGCCCUCUGCCUGUUGACACCUCUACAAGACUUCCCCUGAUUUGGUGCCGAUGAGAGAGUGGACGUCACGUGUGGUACACCUUCUGAAUGACCAGCACAUGGAUGCACACCAGUUUGGGUUUAAUAUCAGGAAAGCCAUGAAUGACAUCUUGGUCCUUUUCCAAGUGAACAAAAAGGUCCCUGCCACAGCUGGCCAGUGACUGAAUAAAUGCCAGCAACAUUGUACAGUUAUAUAUUGGUGACACACGUUGAGUGUGUUGUUCUAUUCACUAAUCAGCAGUGAUCUUUGGAAAGGGAGGGGGGAAGGGGAUGCCCAGGGGCCAGACCUGAAGAUUUCUGCAAGCACAGUGGAGUCCACUUUUGGAUUUGGAGGCCUAGAUCCUAUAUCAGAUACCGCAGACCUCUAGGCAAAUAAGAGGGCUCAUCCACCCUGCCUACAUUUCUGUAUUUUUUAAAGAUCUAAUGGGGAGGACUGCUAACUAAGGCAUGUUUGCGGAUGAAGAGCUUGAGCUGGAUUAGUACAGAAAAAUUGGAGCUUAGCCAAUUGAGGUUCCUCCUCUAAGCUCCUGCAUGGAUAUUCUGAAGCAGUGCCUCCUCAGCCAUCUGCAACCAGCUGCUAAGCAUCUCUUCCCUCUGUGCUCCAGCCAUGUCAGGCCACAGCAGGUGGCAGGGUGAUUUGUUCCCUUAUGGCAACAUCCUGGAUCAGUUAUACAUAGUUGAGUCUCUCAGCAGUAUCUAAUGCAACAGAAAUUAGAUCCAAGUGCCAAUUUUUUUUUCUAAUACUGUGCUGGAGCAGUAUUUGGUAAGAGUAACACUGCAUGUUACACCAAAUAAGUAAGUAUAAUUUAGUGUCCCUUUAUAAAUGAAGACAUUGAGAUUGAGACAUUUCCAGAGUAGGCAAAUCAAGAAAGGAAAUGCAGCAGGCAGAAUAGAUACUCUUAAUUUCCUGCUCUAUUUUCCCCCAGAUGGACUCCUACAAAUAGUGCUUUAUAUUCAUGUUACCAGCAUUGUAAAGAGCAAAAAGCUGGUGGUUGCAAUGGGAGGUUGACCUAAACAGGGAAGAAGUGAUGAUCAUAAUUUGUGACAUUCUUAAAAAAAGUAAGUUGUGCUUCAGUUUAAGAUAAUGAAGUGGAACACACCUCUUCAUCCUCCACCCACUACCCCCUUGCCAACUCAAAGAGAGAAACUCCAAUUUUUCAUACAAAAUAUAUGUAUACCUCCAAUUUUUCAUACAAAAUAUAAGUAUUUCCCAGUGUGUCAAUUCUACUGCCAGUUUCAGUCCUCCAGUCCAUUUUCACAGCCAAACACACCAGAAAGAGGGCCGCUCUGUUCAGAUGAAAGACCUUCUCCAGGCUGAAAGUGCCCUCUGGUUUCCAGUGAGUGGGGAAGAAGAG